rnacentral:rRNA from 1 species
GUGGGGAAUCUUCCGCAAUGGACGAAAGUCUGACGGAGCAACGCCGCGUGAGUGAUGAAGGUCUUCGGAUUGUAAAGCUCUGUUAAUCGGGACGAAAGAGCCUAGUGUGAAUAAUGCUAGGAAGUGACGGUACCGGAAUAGAAAGCCACGGCUAACUACGUGCCAGCAGCCGCGGUAAUACGUAGGUGGCAAGCGUUGUCCGGAAUUAUUGGGCGUAAAGCGCGCGCAGGCGGAUCUGCCAGUCUGUCUUAAAAGUUCGGGGCUUAACCCCGUGAUGGGAUGGAAACUACAGAUCUAGAGGAUCGGAGAGGAAAGUGGAAUUCCUAGUGUAGCGGUGAAAUGCGUAGAUAUGGGGAGGAACACCAGUGGCGAAGGCGGCUUUCUGGACGGUGUCUGACACUGAGGCGCGAAAGCUAGGGGAGCGAACGGGAUUAGAAACCCUGGUAGUCC